CACCGCGGUUAUACGGGAGGCCCAAGUUGUUAGAAAUCGGCGUAAAGGGUGGUUAAGAGCAAGCUUAAAAUUAAAGCCGAACGCCUUCUAGGCUGUUAUACGCAUCCGAAGGUAAGAAGCCCAAUCACGAAAGUAGCUUUAUAUAUUCUGACCCCACGAAAGCUAAGACA
rnacentral:rRNA from 4 species